rnacentral:lncRNA from 10 species
CCAGCCUGGAGGAAGCUCCAUGCCAGCAGCAUGGACCAGCAUGGGAGCCAGAGCCCUGCUAAUGCUGCAGCUCAUCACCCCUGCUCAGCAGCCCAGCAGCCCAGCAGCCAUUGCCACAUCCCAUUUCCAGGGCCUCCUGCCCCCAUGCCCCCACGUGCCCAUGGACCGACACACCACUCUUCCUGUUGGCCCAAGGUAGGCAUGGAGGGAAUUUUUCAAGUCCACUUUUAGUAGGUAAGUCAAAACCAAACAAAAUAACCACUCGACACCUGGUCCAAUGCCCUUCCAAACUCACUCUUUUCUCUGACCCUUAAACACUUGUCCUGCAUCUCCCAGACUCCACUGUACCUUGAUCAGUAGGUCCCUCUUCACUGCAGUGUCUUUUUUGCAGAGUUCUUUUAGCUCUUUCAUGCUUUUGCUAUGGGCAGAGGAAAGAAAGAAGGGUAAAUUUGGGAAUCAGGGGAGAUUUGUGAGUUCCAGUCCCUUUUGUUUGAAAACCCAGUGAAUCCCAGCUUACUGGGUGAGAGUUUUCAGUGGAGUCCUCUGAUCACAGGGGCUCCAGAGGACCAGGGUGGGACCUCUCAUGCUCCUCCCCUGGGCCCCAUCUCCACUUCACAUGAGCCACUGCGUGUUUACAGUUAGCUUUCAGCUGGACACAGAGUUCCACUGCUGGGUACAAACACCUGAAAGCCUCCAGUUGGCUCCAGUCUGUUCCUGAUGGUUAAAAAACCUUAGUCCUGAGUUGGAAAUCCUUGCCUAGGAGUCCAGGGCAGCUUAGUGACCACAGCCACCGGCCCAUCCCUGCCUCCAGUGUCCCUGGACUCCAAGAACCUUUCAGAGUCAUUGAGGGCACAUGGGGGGAGACCUGUGAGUCCCUAGGUCAACCCUGAUGCUGCCAUGGAGAGAGCCCUCCUCACCUGGACACUCCUGCCCACGUCUUGUGUAGCUGACCUAUUGGGUUGCUGCACAGAGCAGAGACGAUGACGUGCACCGAGGAGAAGUUGUUGAGGCUUAGGCACUCCUGGAGAGGGAAGAAUGAGCUGUGCGGUUCAGAGUUGGAGCUUGGCCCACUACAGCCUCAGCCCCCUCUGCUGAGAUCUCCCCUCCUGGAUGAAGCAGAGGCCUGGGGAGCCUCAGGAGGGCAGACCUGGGGCCGAGUGGAUGUCACUCAUCUAGGAGGAUUUUAGUUCAACCCAAGGAAGACCCCAGGUCGGAAGUGAGCAGCCACCACUGGGCCGUGGGAGUCAAGUCUGGAGAAACAGCUACGGCCAUCCCAGCCCUGGCCAAGGGGAAAAUGCCGGAAGACUCCAGGGUGGGAGGAAGCGCGUCCCAAGGCCCAGGAUCUGCGAGGCGACUUGGGGAAAACGCAGGCAGAAAAUAAAGCAUGCGAAGAAGUUAACUUGGUGCCAUUGGGCAGAGGGUGAGAGCCCAGCAAAC